GGGGGUGAAGAGCGGACAGCGCGUCCCAGCUCUGGGGCGGGGCACAGUAGGGCGGAAUAGAAGCUAGCGCGGGGACCCGCGUGAAAGGGGACCGGAGCAUGAAAGGACGUCCACGUCUGGACCCGGUUCCUGCCCUAUCCCCACGACCAGGAGCGUUGUGAGUGAGUGCCCAAAGACGAGCAGCGCCAGGUGCCAUGCGCACAGUAUCUGAAAGAGAGGAAGUAAAACUCAAAAGAAGUGAAAUUCCAAAAGACAGAAGCAGAAUUCAAGCUCUGGAGCUGCCAUCAACACCCCCUUCCCCCAGCGUACCCCAACCAAAAUGGCUGCUCUUGGACACACACUGCCCUUCUACACUGGCACCAAGCCAACCUUUCCAAUGGACACUACUCUGGCUGUCAUUAUCACCAUCUUCCUGACUGCACUGGUCACCUUCAUCAUUAUCCUGCCUGGCAUCCGUGGGAAGACGAGGCUGUUCUGGCUGCUUCGGGUGGUGACCAGCUUAUUCAUCGGGGCUGUGAUCCUGGCUGUGAACUUCAGUUCUGAGUGGUCUGUGGGCCAUGUCAACGCCAACACAACGUACAAAGCCUUCAGUCCCAAGUGGGUCAGUGUGGACGUGGGACUGCAGAUCGGGCUCGGCGGCGUCAACAUCACCCUCACAGGCACCCCAGUGCAGCAGCUGAAUGAAACCAUCAACUACAAUGAGGCAUUCGCAUGGCGCCUGGGCAGGAGCUAUGCAGAGGAGUAUGCAAAGGCCCUGGAGAAGGGCCUUCCAGACCCAGUGCUAUACCUGGCUGAGAAGUUCACCCCUCGAAGCCCAUGUGGCCUGUACAACCAGUACCGCCUGGCAGGACACUAUGCCUCUGCCAUGCUGUGGCAAGAUUUCUCCUUCAUACAUUUGGGACAUCUUCUGCCUAGGUCCUGAAGUCCUCUCUAGCAGGUUAGUGGUGCCUGGGCCAGCCCUCAUUGCAUCUUGGCUUUCUAGGGUGGCAUUCCUCUGCUGGCUACUGGCCAAUGUGAUGUUGUCGAUGCCAGUGCUGGUUUAUGGUGGCCACAUGCUGCUGGCCACUGGUCUCUUCCAGCUGUUGGCCCUGUUCUUCUUCUCCAUGACCACGUCACUCAUAUCGCCCUGUCCCCUGCGCUUGGGCACUGCUGUGCUGCACACUCACCAUGGGCCCGCUUUCUGGAUCACGUUAGCCACAGGACUGCUGUGUAUUCUGCUUGGCCUGGUCAUGGCAGUGGCCCACAGGAUGCAGCCUCACAGACUGAAGGCUUUCUUCAACCAGAGUUCAGAGGACCCAGUGCUGGAGUGGGGCUCUGAAGAAGGAGGACUCUUGAGCCCCCACUACCGGUCCAUAGCUGAGAGUCCUGAGACCCAGGACAUUCCCAUGUCAGUGGCUUCCUCUGAGACAUGUUUUAAGGAGGAACACCCCAAAGAGUCCGACUGUUCCCUGUAAAGCUCUUCUCCUGGUAGCCACUGAGUUUCCAGACUGCCUCCAGACAUUAUUGGAGCCCCACAAAACCAGCAGAACUGUCCAGGAAGUGGGUUUCAGUUGUAUCAUGUUCAGUUGUAAUAUGUAUCCAACUUGUUGAUGUAACAGAAUAAUAUACACAGCCUACUAAUGCAAAAAAAUAAAUGAACAAAAGUGCUAAGGCUCUGAAGAGAUGUCA